rnacentral:rRNA from 1 species
CCUACGGGCGGCUGCAGUGGGGAAUAUUGGACAAUGGGGGCAACCCUGAUCCAGCCAUGCCGCGUGUGUGAAGCAGGCCCUCGGGUUGUAAAGCACUUUCAGUGAGGAAGAACGCCUGGUGGUUAAUACCCAUCAGGAAAGACAUCACUCACAGAAGAAGCACCGGCUAACUCCGUGCCAGCAGCCGCGGUAAUACGGAGGGUGCGAGCGUUAAUCGGAAUUACUGGGCGUAAAGCGCGCGUAGGUGGCUUGAUAAGCCGGUUGUGAAAGCCCCGGGCUCAACCUGGGAACGGCAUCCGGAACUGUCAAGCUAGAGUGCAGGAGAGGAAGGUAGAAUUCCCGGUGUAGCGGUGAAAUGCGUAGAGAUCGGGAGGAAUACCAGUGGCGAAGGCGGCCUUCUGGACUGACACUGACACUGAGGUGCGAAAGCGUGGGUAGCAAACAGGAUUAGAUACCCCAGUAGUC